GAACUGCGAUAAGUAAUGUGAAUUGCAGAAUUCAGUGAAUCAUCGAGUCUUUGAACGCACAUUGCGCCCCCUGGCAUUCCGGGGGGCAUGCCUGUCCGAGGGUCAUUGCUGCCCUUCAAGCCCGGCUUGUGUGUUGGGUCGUCGUCCCCUCCGGGGGACGGGCCCGAAAGGCAGCGGCGGCACCGCGUCCGGUCCUCGAGCGUAUGGGGCUUUGUCACCCGCUCGAUAAGGACCGGCCGGGCGCCAGCCGGCGUCUCCAACCUUUUUUUCUCAGGUUGACCUCGGAUCAGGUAGGGAUACCCGCUGAACUUAAGC
rnacentral:misc_RNA from 1 species